UUCAAUACAUUCAUCAUACUUUCUCUGAUGACACCUGUUAAUAAAAUAAAAAUAAUUUACACUUUAUAUUAUUAUCAAUUAUAUAUAAUCUUUAUUUACCAGUAACAUUAGGGCAUGGUGCAACAUUACCGAAUUUUUGAGCUAUGUGCUCUUUAAAUCGUGUUAUUCCUCCUUUCACAACUUUACCACAAAGUUUACAUACGAUAUUUCCUUUCGCAUUUGGCACUGGAGUUC
rnacentral:lncRNA from 1 species